GAUGAACGCUGGCGGCGUGCCUAAUACAUGCAAGUCGAGCGAACAGACGAGGAGCUUGCUCCUCUGACGUUAGCGGCGGACGGGUGAGUAACACGUGGAUAACCUACCUAUAAGACUGGGAUAACUUCGGGAAACCGGAGCUAAUACCGGAUAAUAUUUUGAACCGCAUGGUGCAAUAGUGAAAGACGGUUUUGCUGUCACUUAUAGAUGGAUCCGCGCUGCAUUAGCUAGUUGGUAAGGUAACGGCUUACCAAGGCAACGAUGCGUAGCCGACCUGAGAGGGUGAUAGGCCACACUGGAACUGAGACACGGUCCAUAGUCCUACGGGAGGCAGCAGUAGGGAAUCUUCCGCAAUGGGCGAAAGCCUGACGGAGCAACGGCGCGUGAGUGAUGAAGGUCUUCGGAUCGUAAAAAUCUGUUAUUAGGGAAGAACAGAUGUGUAAGUAACUGUGCACGUCUUGACGGUACCUAAUCAGAAAGCCACGGCUAACUACGUG
rnacentral:rRNA from 1 species